rnacentral:rRNA from 1 species
UACGGGGGGGGCAAGCGUUGUUCGGAAUUACUGGGCGUAAAGGGCUCGUAGGCGGCCAACUAAGUCGGACGUGAAAUCCCUCGGCUUAACCGGGGAACUGCGUCCGAUACUGGAUGGCUUGAGUUCGGGAGAGGGAUGCGGAAUUCCAGGUGUAGCGGUGAAAUGCGUAGAUAUCUGGAGGAACACCGGUGGCGAAGGCGGCAUCCUGGACCGACACUGACGCCGAGGAGCGAAAGCCAGGGGAGCAAACGGG